AACCUUAUGGACCUGCGGGCGUAUACCUGCGGAAGGAUCAUUAUAGAGUUUUCUAAACUCCCAACCCAUGUGAACUUACCUUUUGUUGCCUCGGCAGAGGUUACCUGGUACCUGGAGACAGGCUACCCUGUAGCAGCUGCCGGUGGACUACUAAACUCUUGUUAUUUUAUGUAAUCUGAGCGUCUUAUUUUAAUAAGUCAAAACUUUCAACAAUGGAUCU
rnacentral:misc_RNA from 1 species